ensembl:lncRNA
GUCUGAUUGGAGCAGCUGUUGCCAACCCAAUCUUCAACAUUCUCUCAUUGGACUCAAACAGCGGAGAAAACAACUCAACCAUGAGUUUGUCUGAUUCCCAUUCAUCUGAAAAUAACACUUCAUCAGUGGAGCAGAGUUCAGAAUCGUCUGAAUCAUUAGAAUCCAACUCUGAGGACAAGACUACUGAAGAAUCCGAAAGCCACUCACUUGAGGACCCGAUCGCCCUUAUUGAUGAAACUAGAGACAACAACAGUGAAGAGGACAGGAACGUAAGAAAGGUGAAACAACAAUGCUGCAUUCAUUGAUUUUUGCCUUAGCACUAUUCAAAACGUAUAAAUUGUAUUGUGCAUCUCUCGAUUCAUUCUAUUCAUUGACCAUCCUCGUUUUUUUGUCAGAGUUGGCUGUCAGUGUUCGCCAGCGUCGUCCACUCGAGGAGUGGUGAGGACAGCAGCAAAGAGGCCACGGGUCAGCUGGUGACGCCGCCGCCCCAGAGCUCCGUCGUCCCCAUCCUCCCCUCGAACCAGCCGGGCAGCACC